rnacentral:rRNA from 1 species
GACGAACGCUGGCGGCGUGCUUAACACAUGCAGGUGGUGCGACGAACCAGGCUUCGGCCUGGGGCAGAGCCGCGAACGGGUGAGUAACACGUGGGCAACCUGCCCUGUUGAUCGGGACAACCCGGGGAAACCCGGGCUAAUACCGAAUGUGGUGCCGGCUCAUGAGAGCCGUCACGAAAGGAAGCUUCGGCCUCCGCGACAGGAUGGGCCCGCGGCCCAUUAGCUUGUUGGUGGGGUAAUGGCCUACCAAGGCAACGAUGGGUAGCUGGUCUGAGAGGACGAUCAGCCACACUGGGACUGAGACACGGCCCAGACUCCUACGGGAGGCUGUAGUGGGGAAUCUUGCGCAAUGAGCGACAGCUUGACGCAGCAACGCCGCGUGGGGGAAGAAGGCUUUCGGGUCGUAAACCCCUUUCAGUUAGGACGAAGCUUUAUUGGUUAAUAACCAAUUGGAGUGGCGGUACUUUCAGAAGAAGCCCCGGCUAACUACGUGCCAGCCGCCGCCGUAA